rnacentral:rRNA from 1 species
AGCAGCCGCGGUAAUUCCAGCUCCAAUAGCGUAUAUUAAAGUUGUUGCAGUUAAAAAGCUCGUAGUUGAAUUUCGGGACCAAUUUGUUGGUCGUGCCUCGGUACGUACUGAUAUUAUUGGUUUCUCCCUUCUGAAGAACCAUGAUGCCAUUAAUUUGGUGUCGUGGGGAAUCAGGACUGUUACUUUGAAAAAAUUAGAGUGUUUAAAGCAGGCUUUCGCUUGAAUACAUUAGCAUGGAAUAAUGAAAUAGGACGUUUGAUUCUAUUUUGUUGGUUUCUAGGAUCGACGUAAUGAUUAAUAGGGAUAGUUGGGGGCAUUAGUAUUCAAUUGUCAGAGGUGAAAUUCUUGGAUUUAUUGAAGACUAACUACUGCGAAAGCAUUUGCCAAGGAUGUUUUCAUUAAUCAAGAACGAAAGUUAGGGGAUCGAAGACGAUCAGAUACCGUCGUAGUCUUAACCAUAAACUA